CAGACUCCUACGGGAGGCAGCAGUGGGGGAUAUUGCGCAAUGGGGGCAACCCUGACGCAGCAACGCCGCGUGAAGGAUGAAGGUCUUCGGAUUGUAAACUUCUUUUAUUAAGGACGAAAAAUGACGGUACUUAAUGAAUAAGCUCCGGCUAACUACGUGCCAGCAGCCGCGGUAAUACGUAGGGAGCAAGCGUUGUCCGGAUUUACUGGGUGUAAAGGGUGCGUAGGCGGCUUUGCAAGUCAGAUGUGAAAUCUAUGGGCUCAACCCAUAAACUGCAUUUGAAACUGUAGAGCUUGAGUGAAGUAGAGGCAGGCGGAAUUCCCCGUGUAGCGGUGAAAUGCGUAGAGAUGGGGAGGAACACCAGUGGCGAAGGCGGCCUGCUGGGCUUUAACUGACGCUGAGGCACGAAAGCGUGGGUAGCAAACAGGAUUAGAUACCCUGGUAGUCCACGCUGUAAACGAUGAAAAGAGGUGUGGGGGGUCUGACCCCUUCCGUG
rnacentral:rRNA from 1 species